AUAAAAUUGAGAAAGGAAAUGGUGAAUAUGUCAAAGCGACAACCACCCGACCAUAGAGCAAACAACAGCCGAAGGCAACCAAUGGGUCUUCAAUGUAGCGAGAAUUCCCGCACCCGUAGGUGUCCUUCAGCUGGCCCCUUAAAUAUGCAUAAUAGUACAGUGAUAAUGGACGUCAUACUAAACUCCGAAUUAUACACAAGAAACUAAAAUUUAAAAUCAUACAAGAC
rnacentral:lncRNA from 1 species